rnacentral:lncRNA from 1 species
GUAAAACGAAGGAAACAUCGGUGUAGAGGAUUACAAGCAUCAAUAUUAUACAGAAACGAAACAACAACACAGGGAUAUAUCUUUUGAGUUGUAUUGAUAUAUCUUUUGAGGGACUUAACGACCAAACGAUGAUGGAUCGAUUGAGAGUUUCACGAUCAUACCUUGCGUAGACAAGCAACUCUGGAGAUUGGUCUCUAGAUGCUUGGCCUCACGUUGAGACGGCUUGCUAGUUUCUGUCCCAGAGAACGAUCAGCCUGAAAGAGGAGAGAUUAAGAAUGUUAGCCUUGCUGAAAAUGUUGCACAACCAAUAAAGGAAGCAGAAGAUUUCACUUGAUUUUUUUUUUUUUUUUCUGACCUGAGACCAGUAAGAGAUCCAGAUGCUGCGGAUUUCGUGAGUGAGACGUGGCUCCGACAGAAUCUCAACCCAUCUCUUAACAAACCGGUCUUGCCUGUGAACAAAAGUGAAACAUGAAAAGAUUAGGAAUUAAGCUUUGUCCAGUGAGAUUUUGUGAGAGUUAAGUUAAGAGAAAUGAAACUUCUUCUUUACCUGUCUGGUGCCCAUGAUCUGUAUCUAUCUCCAGGCUGUUUGAAGUUGUUCUCCUUCUUGAUGAUGCACUGCAACAUAAGCAAUAAAAAAGUUUUUUUUAGCAGACGAUUCGAAUAAAUUGAGAUAAAGUUUUAAGGAUUUGAAAAAAAAGGCAUGGAGUGAAUCAAACCUUUGUUCGGAUUCCAGUGUAGGAUUUGUUAGGAAUAGGAACUUUCUCGGCGCAGCGGACGGGAUCAAACUUUGAGGGGUAGUAAUUAAUCUGUAAAAGCAAACACCAGAUAAAGACUUUAAUACCAAAUCAAAAGACCAAUAAUUGUAGCAUGUAACACAAGUUAAUACUAAUAGUUACCUCCUCAUCUCUGUGCAUGAAGUUCAUAAAACCUUCAUGGUGAUUGUUGUGGUGAGCACACUUGGGAGCAUUGACCGGUAGCUGAAGAUAAUUCGGUCCAAGACGAUGUCUCUGAGUGUCACCAUAGGCAAAGAUCCUACACUGGAGCAGCUUGUCGUCCGAGUAGUAGAUCCCAGGAACCACAAGACCAGGGUUGAAUGCGAGCUGCUCAGUUUCAUUGAAGAAGUUGUCAAUGGUCCUGUUCAGAACCAAGCGACCAACUGGCUGCAGAGGCAAGAUAUCCUCAGGCCAGAUCUUGGUCACAUCAAGCGGGUCGAAAUCAAACUUGUCCUCAUCCGCAGGAUCCAUGGUCUGGAUGAAAAGCUUCCACUCGGGGUAGUUACCAGAUGCAAUAGCGUCGUGGAGAUCCUUGGUUGCGUGGCUGUGAUUGGCUCCUCCAACUACCUUUGCCUCUUCAUCAGUCAAGUUCUUGAUCCCACAAGUGGGUUUCCAAUGGAACUUGACGAAGAGAACUUUUCCAGAUUUGGAAACAAGAGUGUAGGUGUGGACACCGAAACCUUCCAUGUGCCUGUAAUCUUGUGGAAUACCAACAUCAUCAAACAUCCAGCACCAUGUGAGCAAACUCUCCGGUAAAUGGGACAUGUAGUCCAAUAUCCUCCAGUACUCCUGGAUGUUGGUUUUGGGGUUCGGUUUCAACGCGUGGACCACAUCUGGGAAUUGAAUCCCGUCGCGGAUGAAGAACACCGGAGUGUUGUUACCAACAAGAUCAAAGUUCCCCUGAGUUUAUAACAAAGCAGCAGCAGCAAGACACACGUUCAGUAUACUGAUUCUCAAGAAGCCAGAGGAGAUCAACAAUGGAAAAAGGUAAUCUUUUAGCACACUAUACCUCUCUGGUGUAGAACUUAACGGCGAAACCACGAAUAUCCCUCAUGGUUUCAGGGCUGGCACGCUCGUGAACGACGGUGGAGAAACGGACGAUAACGGGAGUUUGAACACCAGGUGCUCGGAGAAAAUCAGCACAGGUGAGGUUUGAAAUGUCAUGGGUGACCUCAAAGAAACCCUUGGCACUGAUUCCUCUGGCAUGAACCACUCUCUCAGGAAUCCUUUCUCUGGUGAAAUUCGCAACUUUCUCGAUCAGAUGGUAGUCUUCGAGAAGAACCGGACCUGCC